CUACGGGGGACACCAGUGAGGAAUAUUGCACAAUGGGGGGAACCCUGAUGCAGCAACGCCGCGUGGAGGAUGACGCAUUUCGGUGUGUAAACUCCUUUUAUAUGUCAAGAAAAUGACGGUAGCAUAUGAAUAAGUACCGGCUAACUCCGUGCCAGCAGCCGCGGUAAUACGGAGGGUGCAAGCGUUACUCGGAAUCACUGGGCGUAAAGGACGCGUAGGCGGGUUGGAAAGUCAGGUGUGAAAUCCUACAGCUUAACUGUAGAACUGCACUUGAAACUUCUAAUCUAGAGUAUGGGAGGGGGAGAUGGAAUUAGUGGUGUAGGGGUAAAAUCCGUAGAUAUCACUAGGAAUACCUAAAGCGAAGGCGAUCUCCUGGAACAUUACUGACGCUAAGGCGUGAAAGCGUGGGGAGCAAACAGGAUUAGAUACCCCGGUAGUC
rnacentral:rRNA from 1 species